rnacentral:rRNA from 1 species
AUGAGCCGACCUGAUGGGAUCAACAUCCCCGGCGGCAAGUUCUACCUUGGAGAUGCUGGCUAUGCAUGUCGGCCGGGUGUUCUUCCACCCUUCAGGAAAACUAGGUACCAUCUCAACGAGUACUCUGGUAGGAACUAUCCUGGGACUGCACAGGAGCUGUUUAAUCUCAGACACUCCAGCCUUAGAGUAACUAUUGAGAGGGCAUUUGGAGCUCUGAAGAAUAGGUUUAAGAUCCUGGAUCAGAAGCCAUUCCACCGAUACUCCACUCAGGUUAAGCUUGUUCUUGCCUGUUGCAUUCUGCAUAACUGGAUCCUCCAGUGGGGCUCUGAUGAACACAUGCCUGAGGAGGGAGCCUAA